rnacentral:rRNA from 1 species
GGGUGAGUCACGCGUGUCCAACCUGCCUCCGGCCCGGGAUAGCCCUUGGAAAUGAGGAUUAAGACCCGAUAGAUGCGCUUUCCGCAUGGCGAGCGCAUGAAACUGGACCGGAGAUGGGGACGCGUCGGAUUAGCUUGACGGCGGGGCGACGGCCCACCGUGGCGACGAUCCGCAGGGGUUCUGAGAGGAAGGUCCCCCACACUGGCACUGAGACACGGGCCAGACUCCUACGGGAGGCAGCAGUGAGGAAUAUUGGUCAAUGGGCGAGAGCCUGAACCAGCCAAGUAGCGUGCAGGAUGACGGCCCUACGGGUUGUAAACUGUCUUUUGCGGGAAGGAUAAAGGACACUACGUGUAGUGUUUUGCAGGUAUCCCGUGAAUAAGGACCGGCUAAUUCCGUGCCAGCAGCGGC